CCCGCUUAGAGGCAAACGGGUGUAGUCAAGCUGCAAGCCUGGGUAAUAGUGGGGUCAGUAUGACGUGAGUCUGAGCACAUAUAGCUGGUUUAUAGAUCUGUCCGCAAGGUCGGGUUCGGUUUGAAAGAGUCGAAUUUGCGUAGCGGCUUUUGUCGUUGCAAGUCUAUUUACUUGUUGCUUAGCUGGCCCUAUCACUUUAACUUGGCGUAUGUCAUGACCGUCGUUGCUGCCGGUCUGCUUUGUCUAAACUAUGUUGUGAGUAGUCUUGUGCUACUUGCAUUAUGGGGGCAGGUAACUAAUUUAGAGCAAUCUUGAUUAGUAUAAUUUGCUGGGCAGAGUGGUACCUGUAACUGUGCAGUGCGACGUAGGUAUCGGUGCGUUGUGUUACGGGGUGCGCUAUAGUUUGUUGGCGUUAUUUGAGUUUGGCGGUUUGUUGCUACCAUUGGUGGCCUGAUUGUGACUCUGUAACGGUUUAACGAACGGAUGUGCCCGGUCGACCUCUGCGUUGUGCCUAUAGUCUGUGGCGUAGUGGUAGACGAU
rnacentral:rRNA from 1 species